rnacentral:rRNA from 1 species
UACGUAGGGGGCUAGCGUUGUCCGGAAUCAUUGGGCGUAAAGCGCGUGUAGGCGGCCCGGUAAGUCCGCUGUGAAAGUCGGGGGCUCAACCCUCGAAAGCCGGUGGAUACUGUCGGGCUAGAGUCCGGAAGAGGAGAGUGGAAUUCCUGGUGUAGCGGUGAAAUGCGCAGAUAUCAGGAAGAACACCCGUGGCGAAGGCGGCUCUCUGGGACGGUACUGACGCUGAGACGCGAAAGCGUGGGGAGCGAACAGG